rnacentral:misc_RNA from 1 species
AAGUCGUAACAAGGUUUCCGUAGGUGAACCUGCGGAAGGAUCAUUAAUAAAUUUUAUAUUUUAAGGCUUUUUCUGUUUUACAGUCAAGCCUGAAAUACAAUUUGCUGUGUUUGGUUCUUUAUUUAAAAAGGCCUAACACGUUCAAGCAAACAUACUUUGUGUGCACUGUAUAAAUAAAUUCUCUUCUUCUGACGGAGAAAGUCCAAAGACUGGCUGUUUAACAACAUAUAGGCAUUUUUUUUGCUGAAUGGUGCAAAACGGUCAGCGCCGUCAGAAGGUUAAAAUUAACAAACUCGUUGUAUCUCAAUUGUCUGAAGUCAUCUUUUAAUAAAGAUACAAAUUAAAAUACAACUUUUAACAACGGAUCUCUUGGCUCUC